rnacentral:rRNA from 1 species
AAGGCGAUCGAGUGAAUCGUGGUUAAGGAAUUCGGCAAAAUACCCCCGUAACUUCGGGAGAAGGGGGGCCCGGAAGGUGAAGAAGACUUGCUCUUCUAGCCCGAACGGCCGCAGAGACCAGGGAGAAGCGACUGUUUACUAAAAACACAGGUCCGUGCCAAGUCGCAAGACGAUGUAUACGGACUGACGCCUGCCCGGUGCUGGAACGUUAAGGGGACCGGUUAGCCUCACGGCGAAGCUGAGAACUUAAGCGCCAGUAAACGGCGGUGGUAACUAUAACCAUCCUAAGGUAGCGAAAUUCCUUGUCGGGUAAGUUCCGACCUGCACGAAUGGCGUAACGACUUCUCCACUGUCUCAACCACGGACUCGGCGAAAUUGCACUACGAGUAAAGAUGCUCGUUACGCGCAGAAGGACGGAAAGACCCCGGGACCUCUACUACAGCUUGGUAUUGGUGUUCGGUACGGCUUGUGUAGGAUAGGUGGGAGACUGUGAAGCUGAUACGCCAGUAUCGGUGGAGUCAACGUUGAAAUACCACUCUGGUCGUUCUGGAUAUCUAACCUCGGUCCGUGAUCCGGAUCAGGGACAGUGCCUGGUGGGUAGUUUAACUGGGGCGGUUGCCUCCUAAAAGGUAACGGAGGCGCCCAAAGGUUCCCUCAGCCUGGUUGGCAAUCAGGUUUUGAGUGUAAGUGCACAAGGGAGCUUGACUGUGAGAGUGACAACUCGAACAGGGACGAAAGUCGGGACUAGUGAUCCGGCGGUGGCUUGUGGAAGCGCCGUCGCUCAACGGAUAAAAGGUACCCCGGGGAUAACAGGCUGAUCUUGCCCAAGAGUCCAUAUCGACGGCAUGGUUUGGCACCUCGAUGUCGGCUCGUCGCAUCCUGGGGCUGGAGUAGGUCCCAAGGGUUGGGCUGUUCGCCCAUUAAAGCGGUACGCGAGCUGGGUUUAGAACGUCGUGAGACAGUUCGGUCCCUAUCCUCUGCGCGCGCAGGAAACUUGAGAAGGGCUGUCCCUAUUACGAGAGGACCGGGAUGGACGAACCUCUGGUGUGUCAGUUGUUCUGCCAAGAGCACCGCUGAUUAGCUACGUUCGGAAGUGAUAACCGCUGAAAGCAUCUAAGCGGGAAGCAUGCUUCAAGAUGAGGUUUCCAUGGGGUUUACCCCGAGAGGCUCCCAGCUAGACUACUGGGUUGAUAGGCCGGAUGUGGAAGUGCGGUAACGCAUGGAGCUGACCGGUACUAAUAAGCCGAUAACUUGACU